rnacentral:rRNA from 1 species
UACGGGGGGAGCAAGCGUUGUUCGGAUUUACUGGGCGUAAAGGGCGCGUAGGCGGCCACUGCAAGUCGGUUGUGAAAUCUCCGGGCUUAACCCGGAAAGGUCAACCGAUACUGCAGGGCUAGAGUGCAGAAGGGGCAACUGGAAUUCCAGGUGUAGCGGUGAAAUGCGUAGAUAUCUGGAGGAACACCGGUGGCGAAGGCGGCAUCCUGGACCAACACUGACACUGGGGAGCGAAAGCCAGGGGAGCAAACGGG